AUAGUCUGGUGUCUCUUCAGAUCACAUAAAUCUUUUACCUUUAAUUAAAGAUUUCUAUGGGAACAAUUCAGAGUUUUCACUCAGUUUUUGCAGGCCUUGUACCACUCACAAGGUU
ensembl:snRNA U5 U5 spliceosomal RNA